rnacentral:rRNA from 1 species
AUGACGGUACCCAACAAGGAAGUGACGGCUAAUUACGUGCCAGCAGCCGCGGUAAAACGUAGGUCACAAGCGUUGUCCGGAAUUACUGGGUGUAAAGGGAGCGCAGGCGGGAAGACAAGUUGGAAGUGAAAUCUAUGGGCUCAACCCAUAAACUGCUUUCAAAACUGUUUUUCUUGAGUAGUGCAGAGGUAGGCGGAAUUCCCGGUGUAGCGGUGGAAUGCGUAGAUAUCGGGAGGAACACCAGUGGCGAAGGCGGCCUACUGGGCACCAACUGACGCUGAGGCUCGAAAGUGUGGGUAGCAAACAGGAUUAGAUACCCUGGUAGUCCACACCGUAAACGAUGAUUACUAGGUGUUGGAGGAUUGACCCCUUCAGUGCCGCAGUUAACACAAUAAGUAAUCCACCUGGGGAGUACGACCGCAAGGUU